CCUAGUACGAGAGGACCGGGACGGACGAACCUCUGGUGUGCCAGUUGUUCUGCCAAGGGCAUGGCUGGUUGGCUACGUUCGGGAGGGAUAACCGCUGAAAGCAUCUAAGCGGGAAGCCUGCUUCGAGAUGAGGACUCCCACCCCCUUGAGGGGUUAAGGCUCCCAGUAGACGACUGGGUUGAUAGGCCGGAUCUGGAAGCACCGUGAGGUGUGGAGGUGACCGGUACUAAUAGGCCGAGGGCUUGUCCUCAGUUG
rnacentral:rRNA from 1 species